UACGUAGGUGGCAAGCGUUGUCCGGAUUUAUUGGGCGUAAAGAGCGUGUAGGCGGUCAGGUAGGUCCGUUGUGAAAACUCGAGGCUCAACCUCGAGACGCCGAUGGAAACCAUCUGACUAGAGUCCGGAAGAGGAGAGUGGAAUUCCCGGUGUAGCAGUGAAAUGCGUAGAGAUCGGGAGGAACACCAGUGGCGAAGGCGGCUACCUGGACCAGCACUGACACUGAAGCACGAAAGCGUGGGGAGCAAACAGG
rnacentral:rRNA from 1 species